rnacentral:rRNA from 1 species
GACGAACGCUGGCGGCGUGCCUAACACAUGUAAGUCGCACGGGACCGGGGGCAACUCCGGUUCAGUGGGCAGACGGGUGCGUAACACGUGAAGAACCUGUCCAACGGCGGGGGAUAGCCGGCCCAACGGCCGGGUAAUACCGCAUACGAUCGUUCGGGGGCAUCCCUGGGCGAUGAAAGCAGCCGCAAGGUUGCGCCGAUGGAGGGCUUCGCGGCCUAUCAGCUAGUUGGCGGGUAACGGCCCACCAAGGCAACGACGGGUAGCUGGUCUGAGAGGAUGGCCAGCCACAUUGGGACUGAGACACGGCCCAGACUCCUACGGGAGGCAGCAGUGGGGAAUCUUGCGCAAUGGGCGAAAGCCCUGACGCAGCGACGCCGCGUGAGGGAUG